GGGUUGUGAGGUUAAGCGACUAAGCGUACACGGUGGAUGCCCUGGCAGUCAGAGGCGAUGAAGGGCGUGCUAAUCUGCGAUAAGCGCCGGUAAGGUGAUAUGAACCGUUAUAACCGGCGAUACCCGAAUGGGGAAACCCAGUGUGACUCGUCACACUAUCAUUAACUGAAUCCAUAGGUUAAUGAGGCGAACCGGGGGAACUGAAACAUCUAAGUACCCCGAGGAAAAGAAAUCAACCGAGAUUCCCCCAGUAGCGGCGAGCGAACGGGGAGGAGCCCAGAGCCUGAAUCAGCAUGUGUGUUAGUGGAAGCGUCUGGAAAGGCGCGCGAUACAGGGUGACAGCCCCGUACACAAAAGCGCAUGUGCUGUGAGCUCGAUGAGUAGGGCGGGACACGUGGUAUCCUGUCUGAAUAUGGGGGGACCAUCCUCCAAGGCUAAAUACUCCUGACUGACCGAUAGUGAACCAGUACCGUGAGGGAAAGGCGAAAAGAACCCCGGCGAGGGGAGUGAAAAAGAACCUGAAACCGUGUACGUACAAGCAGUGGGAGCACAGGUUUACCUGUGUGACUGCGUACCUUUUGUAUAAUGGGUCAGCGACUUAUAUUCUGUAGCAAGGUUAACCGUAUAGGGGAGCCGUAGGGAAACCGAGUCUUAACCGGGCGUUAAGUUGCAGGGUAUAGACCCGAAACCCGGUGAUCUAGCCAUGGGCAGGUUGAAGGUUGGGUAACACUAACUGGAGGACCGAACCGACUAAUGUUGAAAAAUUAGCGGAUGACCUGUGGCUGGGGGUGAAAGGCCAAUCAAACCGGGAGAUAGCUGGUUCUCCCCGAAAGCUAUUUAGGUAGCGCCUCGUGAAUUCAUCUCCGGGGGUAGAGCACUGUUUCGGCUAGGGGGCCAUCCCGGCUUACCAACCCGAUGCAAACUGCGAAUACCGGAGAAUGUUAUCACGGGAGACACACGGCGGGUGCUAACGUCCGUCGUGAAGAGGGAAACAACCCAGACCGCCAGCUAAGGUCCCAAAGUCAUGGUUAAGUGGGAAACGAUGUGGGAAGGCCCAGACAGCCAGGAUGUUGGCUUAGAAGCAGCCAUCAUUUAAAGAAAGCGUAAUAGCUCACUGGUCGAGUCGGCCUGCGCGGAAGAUGUAACGGGGCUAAACCAUGCACCGAAGCUGCGGCAGCGAACGUAUCACCCAAGACAACUUUACGGAGUUGACGAUUGACGGAGCGAAGCGACGUCAAAGCGUUCAUUAAAGUCGAGUUGG
rnacentral:rRNA from 1 species